AGCAGUCGCCACGGUAAUACAGAGGGUGCGAGCGUUAAUCGGAUUUACUGGGCGUAAAGCGUGCGUAGGCGGCUAAUUGAGUCGGAUGUGAAAUCCCCGAGCUUAACUUGGGAAUUGCAUUCGAUACUGGUUAGCUAGAGUGUGGGAGAGGAUGGUAGAAUUCCAGGUGUAGCGGUGAAAUGCGUAGAGAUCUGGAGGAAUACCGAUGGCGAAGGCAGCCAUCUGGCCUAACACUGACGCUGAGGUACGAAAGCAUGGGGAGCAAACAGGAUUAGAUACCCCCGUAGUCCCUGUCUCUUAUCC
rnacentral:rRNA from 1 species